CUAAAAUCUAAAUGACAUCUGUAUGAAGGUCAUAUUGAUCAUUGAAAUCGGCUUGAGAUUUAAUUUAUAUUUCUGGAAAGUUUAUCAAAUUAGUAAAAAGAAAGGGAGAGAAAGGGAAAGGUCGUAUUUACCCAGGCUACUUUGUCCGAUUAAGGAGAUUAAUUUACAAGAAAAACAUUGUUGGUUUCCAUUAAAAAAUCAAACAGAUGGAGCAAUUACCUGUUACUGGAUUUUGUCCUCCCACUGACCUAGACUGCUUCUCGAGAAGAGGUGCAUUGCUACUUCGGAUGGAAUUUGAACUGCUCUGAAGUCAAUGGUAAAAUUGAUAAGAAACAAGUUAUGCGCAGCACAUUUAAGUUUACAUAAUAUAUUUAUAAUGACUACCAUAAACAGUAACCCUAAUGUUUGUUUUGUUGUUUUGCAACCCUCUAAUACCUUUGAUAUCAUAGAAACCCUACAUUAAUCAUGUGGCCAAAAGUGGAUCAACAAAUCCUAACAAACAACAUACUCAAAAAUUUGAAUAUUCCAUCUUUCAGAACUUUAUCUUUCGAAAACUGAAAAGCUAAUGAUUUGCAAUGGGUUUUUUUUGGUUGAUUUUUAGUUUAUUUUUAAGAUGUUACA